GGAAGAUCUCGAAGAGAUCAUUGGUUCAUUCUUCAGAUGGUGAAAGCGUGCCUGGAGGAGUAAAGAGACCAUCCAAAGGCAUUCCAAGUACUAAUGGAGCCGAGGCCAGCUGAUACCAGUGGGGAAGCCAGGAGGAAUGACAAACUUGAAGUCAUGGAAUUGGAUUGCAGCCCUGAUUUACCACCAACUACACAUGACCUUGAGAAAUCUCUUAACAUCUCUGAGCCUCUGGUGAGUCUUCUGUGAAACGGGAGUGUUGGGCUAGAUGCUCUCCUAGGUUCCUUUCAGUGCAAAGGUUCCAUGACUCUUCAUCUCUAAAACAGCAACUUAUCAACAUUUUCUAAUUUCUUUACCAAAAACAAUCUCUUUGUACACAGAGCAUACAAAAUCCACUUGCUUUGAUUUAAAACAAAAGCAAGCACUUAUUGACCCAGUUUUCAGCUCUGAUAUUCCCCUGGAGCUGCUCCUGGGUACAUAGGCAUUCUGGAAGGCAUUACAUGCACCACCUUUAUGCCUGCCUGCGAGCCUUCCGGCCUCUCCUGUGCUCUGGGGCUGUCUGAGAAUCGGCCCCAUCCUUUCAGCCACAGAACCCUCACAUGAAGAGAAAAUGGACAACUAACCCCACAGACAUCACCAUCAUGUGCAAGCUGGCAUGUAAGGCCCUGACGUCUACUCUGGCCCUGCCUGAGCCUUACUGAGCUCCAACCUCACACCGUCCUGUGAGGAGGGAUGCCUGGAUCACUUCCAGGUUAUUCAUCCAUGUUCUUCACAGUCUGAAGUGAGUGUCAUCUUUAACAGCUUAGCAGUGACAAACACAUUCACCUCUAAUAAUGAAGAGAAAUGAUUUGGGUGCAUAAUUCCAUUUCACUGUGCAUUUCCUUUCCUUUAAAAACUGCCUCCUUUGCCAUGAGCAGGUCUAAAUACCCUGUAGUGUGAAAUGCCAACUCGAAUUUCUAACUACAAAAUUCAUGCAUGUUAGAAUUGAGAAAAUACAGAUAAUCACGAAGAAAGAAAAAGCAAGAUCAUUUAUAUUAUCUUAUUACCCAGAGAUAGCCACAGGGGCCCUGGAGUGUAUUCUUCCAGCCAUUCGUGUGUGUGUGUGUGUGUGUGGUGUGCAUCUGAGUUUUAACUAAAAAAGGACCACCCCUUGUUAAGGAACAAAGCAAAUUGCUAACGUAUAAAGGUAUGUAAGGUAUAUAUCUUUAUCCCUUAAUGGUGUAAAAAAAAUGGUGAUUAUCUUUCCCAAUACAUUAACACCCACCUUCAGCAUCAUUUUCAUGACUUCAAAGUAGUACACCCACACACAAAUCACUUAUUUAACCAAAUUCCUAGUGUUAGACAUCUAGAUCCUUCCCAUGUCUCCAAAAAGCAUGGUGUUCCCUAAAGCAACAUCACCAGACCACCCAAGUAAACCACUUGCUGUCUCCUACCUGGAUUCCUGGACCUCCUUCAUGGGUGAUCCCCCUUGCUUCCUGCCACCAGCCCAACUCCAAUGGGGACUUCUUUUGGUCACUCCGAGCCUCACUUGUAUCAGAACUUCUGGUGCCAUAGCUCAUGUUGGGUCAACUUCCAACUCACCUCAUGAACUUCCACCAGCUUUGUAUGAAAAGUCAGUCCCAAGGAUGCAGUGCUGUGCUGGUGGACAGGAUUCUCUUAAUCCAAACCCACUGAAAGGUCAAGAAUGAGGGUCCAGAGGUUGGGGCUCUGCAUCUCCCUUGCUCACCCUCCAGGAACAGGAGUCCUGCCCUAGAAUCCAAGCUGUGACUGGUGCCCAGCCUCUAGCAUGCCAAGUGCCCCUGUGCAGCAUGUUACUAAAGCCUUGGAAUAACACCACGAGGUACAUUCAUUAUUAUCUUCCUUUUACAUGGAGGGAACCCAACACAGAGGGGAUAGGUGACUUGUCACGGUCUAGUGGCUUGGGAGAUCUGGAAUUUAUACUGAGGUCUGUCUGACCCCGUCUGCCUUUGCUUUAUUAGAUAAUUAACCAGUAUUACCUGCCAAGGCCUCCUCAUGAGGCCCGCAGCCAGGCUGUGUAGGAACAAACAUGACCACUGAGCUUCAAGCACAUACC
rnacentral:lncRNA from 10 species